AGCCGACUUCCUUAGACAUAUGUGCGUGUGUGCAUCCUACAUGUGCUGUUAGUUGUAGUGAUAAGCCGCACAUAAGCCAUCAUGUAUCGAUUAUUAAAAUGUAUCUGCCACCCAUUACCUUAUGCAACUAAGUAAAUAGCGAAAUGCUGUUUUCGUAUUGAAAUGUGAAGAGCAAAUUUCCCAAAGUGCUUCACUGUCAGGCUUAGGCUGUUCCGUUCAACUUUCAUCACUCCCCUUGAUUUCGUGUCGACAGGAGUGGAUAAAUGACACAAAUUGGUCGAUUAAAAAAAUCGCUUGAUCCUCAGCAUUUCAGUAUCGAUUAACUUUAAAUUCGGUAGGUACAGCGAUAAUCCUCAAGCUGUAGAUGAUCCAUCUAGCAUCGAGUCAGAAUCCUAUAUAGGCAGUUGUCUAUACGGCAGAAGUAAGAACUGUAGCUUCCUAAAGCAGGCUGUUUCUUAGCCGUGUUGGUUGGCGAGGAGGAUAGGGGCAAAGAAAUAUUUCCAUAUCAUACAAGUAAUUUGUUAAGACACUGGGGGGAAAAAGAAGGACCAUUCGGUCGACAGCUUGGUUUUCUUGUGGGGGUUUCCAGGGGAACGUUUCAUACACGUAUUCAGCAAGCAAGAGUCAUUCUAUCUGGACUAACAGGAGUGCGAGUUAAAGCUAUUUUUCAGAUCUACCGUGGCUUCCCUGCUUCAACCUACCCAAGUCGGCCAGUGAGUGAGUGAGCGAGCACGGCGGCACCCCCCGACUCGGAGCAAAACUCCCCCCUUCGAAAAAAACAAAAAAAACCCGAACCAAGGAAAGAAAAACAAAAAACAAAUAAAUCGAAAAAAAAAA
rnacentral:lncRNA from 1 species